rnacentral:pre_miRNA from 14 species
GGGACCCUCCGGACCGCGGCCUCGGCUCUCCGUGUUCACAGCGGACCUUGAUUUAAUGUCACACAAUUAAGGCACGCGGUGAAUGCCAAGAGAGGGGCCGCCCUGCACCGCCCGGGGC